CGGGAAAGCGGGGGCAACUCCGCGAGUAUAGUGGCAGACGGGUGAGUAACACGUGAACAAUCUACCCUUGAGAGGGGAAUAACCCCGCGAAAGCGGGGCUAAUACCGCAUAACAUCCCUGAGUCGCAUGGCACAGGGAUCAAAGGCUCCGGUCGCUCAAGGAGGAGUUCGCGGCUGAUUAGCUAGUUGGUGAGGUAACGGCCCACCAAGGCGACGAUCAGUAGCCGGCCUGAGAGGGCGUACGGCCACACUGGAACUGAGACACGGUCCAGACUCCUACGGAAGGCAGCAGUGGGGAAUUUUGCGCAAUGGGCGAAAGCCUGACGCAGCAACGCCGCGUGGAGGAUGAAGGCCUUCGGGUCGUAAACUCCUGUCAGGGGGGACGAAACGCCCGGCAACGGGCAUUGACUGUACCCUCUGAGGAAGCCACGGCUAACUCCGUGCCAGCAGCCGCGGUAAUACGGAGGUGGCAAGCGUUGUUCGGAAUUACUGGGCGUAAAGGGCGCGUAGGCGGCAAGGCAAGUCAGGUGUGAAAGCCCCGAGCUUAACUCGGGAAUUGCAUCUGAAACUGCUGUGCUUGAGUUCUGGAGGGGGUAGUGGAAUUCCCAGUGUAGCGGUGAAAUGCGUAG
rnacentral:rRNA from 1 species